rnacentral:rRNA from 1 species
GACGUAGGGGGCGAGCGUUGUCCGGAAUUACUGGGCGUGAAGAGCACGUAGGCGGGAACCUAAGUCAGGUGUGAAAGACCGAGGCUCAACCUCGGGUGUGCACUUGAAACUGGGUUUCUUGAGGGCAGGAGAGGAAAGCAGAAUUCCUGGUGUAGCGGUGAAAUGCGUAGAAAUCAGGAGGAAUACCAGUGGCGAAGGCGGCUUUCUGGACUGACCCUGACGCUGAGGUGCGAAAGCGUGGGUAGCAAACAGGAUUAGAUACCCUGGUAGUCCACGCCGUAAACGAUGGAUACUAGGUGUGGGAGGUAUCGACCCCUUCCGUGCCGCAGCUAACGCAAUAAGUAUCCCGCCUGGGGAGUACGGUCGCAAGGCUGAA